GGCACUCUGUAUCCAUUCACUGAGGAAACCCCUUAGGGAGUGAGGGGCUUUCAUGAACAUGUGGAUCCUGAUUCUUGUGCAAUCAGUCAGCUCUGCAACAGGCUGAACUUGGGAGAGAUCCUACCUUAGUAUAUAGGAAAGCUAACUGUUGCCUGAGCGACUCCUCGGGAUCUGUGGGCUCCUUGCUAGGUGACGCUGAGAUCACCUGCUAAACCAAAUCCAGGCCUCUCACCACAGUGUGAAACCAAAUGCAGACAAGCCUGACUUCUACUUGGGGGAAGUUUGAAGGUGAAAAGAAGAAAAUCCUGAGAUUUUACAGACCAGUUCAGUGUGGAUCCCCACACAGCAAGCACUGACCGUGGGACCCAACGGGCAAACAGUUUCUGUG